CGGUUCGCGCCUCCUCCCAUUGCGCGGCGCAGCUGUUCCCCUCUGGAGGUUUUUAAGACCUUCAAAACUUAAAGGGCCACGGUUUUCCGUUGGCCCUCUUUU
rnacentral:sRNA from 1 species